rnacentral:rRNA from 1 species
UACGGAGGAUCCAAGCGUUAUCCGGAUUUAUUGGGUUUAAAGGGUGCGUAGGUGGCCUGGUAAGUCAGGGUGAAAGACGGUAGCUCAACUAUCGCAGUGCCUUUGAUACUGCCGGGCUUGAAUACAGUUGAAGUGGGCGGAAUGUGACAAGUAGCGGUGAAAUGCAUAGAUAUGUCACAGAACACCGAUUGCGAAGGCAGCUCACUAAAGUGUGAUUGACACUGAGGCACGAAAGCGUGGGGAUCAAACAGG